rnacentral:lncRNA from 1 species
GGAGUCUUAUCACCCAGGCUGGAGUGCAGUUGCGCAAUCUCAGCUCACUGCAGCCUCUGUCUCCCGGGUUCAAGCAAUCCUCCCAGAAUGGAAGAGCAAUCUAUUUGCUCCUACUUGGAAAAGAUUCUUUCUAAAAAUAUGGAACUGAUGGAAAAGAAACUUAUGGAUUACAUUGAUCAGCGAAUACAUGAACUCCAGGAGCACAUUGAUGAUAAGAUUGCUUUGUUACUGGAUUUGCUGCAAAAUCCUAACUCCCCGCCCACUGGGAUACCUCUAAGACAUUAUGACUCUGGAGAAAGACUUUCAAAUGGAGAAAGAUAAGCUCUCAACAUAAACAGU